rnacentral:rRNA from 1 species
GACGAACGCUUGCGGCGUGCCUAAGAAAUGCAAGUCGAGCGGAGCUGAAGGAUGAAUUAUGAAGGCAGAAGGAUGAGGAUUGCGGUCGGAUUAGUCCGUUUUCUUCAUCCCUCAUCCUUCAUCAUUCAUUCUUCAGCUUAGCGGCGAACGGUCGCGUAACACGUAAGCAACCUGCCUCAAAGACCGGGACAACAUCUCGAAAGGGGUGCUAAUACCGGAUGNGGCCGAAGGGGGACAUCCUUCUUCGAUUAAAUCCAGCAAUGGGCUUUGAGAGGGGCUUGCGUCCUAUCAGCUAGUUGGUGGGUAACGGCCUACCAAGGCGACGACGGGUAGCUGGUCUGAGAGGACGAUCAGCCGGACUGGGACUGAGAUACGGCCCAGACUCCGUAACGGGGGGCAGCAAUUAGGAAUCUUGCACAAUGGGCGAAAGCCUGAUGCAGCGACGCCGCGUGAGGGA